UGAGAUUGGUUGUGGUUACAGCCGUGAGGGGGCGGAGAAUUUAUGCUUGCAAUAUUCUGAACCUCGCACAGAAUUUUGUACGUAUGGUCGGGCCACCCUCUCCACCCCUACGAGGAGGACCUAACCACAAAUCAACUUUACAUAUAAACAGUGCUAAAAAUGUUAUUGUAAAAGUGAUAUAUUGUGUACGAAAGAUAUUUUUAUGAAUACCUCAGAGACUAAAAGCGAGCGGUGGUAACAUAUACAAGAAAAAAUGACCUUGUGACAGAAUGAUGACCUUGACAACAUAUCUCAAUGACAUUGAAAUCGUACAGGUUUGGGGAAGUCAUUUCGACCGCGAGCCACAAGCUCCAUUACUACUACUAUAUGCACGUUGUUACGGCAGCCCCGCGUGGAGCACAAAAGAAGCAAUGUCAUAUCGUUUUUCGUGUCAUGCGAGUGUGUGAAGAAUAUUUGAAGAGCCACAUUUGUGCAGGCCUGUUUUAGUAUAUUUACUUACUUUAAGCAAUUCGUUAAGAUCACGACUAUAAUGUGGUAAUUCUUUUAAAUUUCCACUUCUAAUAUUAUGCCAAUCCGGUCCAUUUUUAGGCAAUGGACCACCACCACCUGCUUCAUAAACAGUUAGUCCCAGGGCAAAAGUAUCAGCUUUUGAUAAAUGGCUAAAGUCUUCUCGUAAAAUUUCGGUUGGCAAAUAUCUACAAUCUCCUUCUUCGACUUGGGGGUUAUUAACAGAUGUAACGUGACCUAAAUCACCUAUCUUAUACGUAAUUUCUUCUUCGACGGUUUCUUCCUCGUCAAAUCCAUCGUCCGCAGAGUCAUAAUUAACCGCCAGUAACCUUUUCUCUUUCGAUAUGAAUAUGUUUCCAGGUUUAAUGUCCAUGUGUACUAACUGCAUACUAUGAAUGUAUCUUAAACCUUCGGCAACAUGUAAUAAAAGUUGUCGCAUUUCUGCUUCUGUGAAAUGCUUAUUUUCUUUUUGUAAAUUGGCAAUGGCGUCCGCUAGACUACCACCAUUACAAUACUCGUUUUGGAUUAUCAUAUGAUUAUCUUCCGCCCAUGCCGAAUAAUACCGUACAACAUGUUGAUGUUUACCGAGCACAGCAUGCGCGUAAACUUCGUUUAAAGCAUUUUUCUCGUUAAUACUUCCAGCAACAGGCUUAAUACUUUUUUUAAUGGCGUAUGUGCACCCAUCUAGUCGGUUGAUGCAUUUAUAAACCGAUCCGAAUUCCCCAAUACCAAUUAAACCAAGUUCGUGGAAUUCCUGAUGGUAUCUAGGAAUAUUAGAAUCUUGUAAUGCUACCCGUUUCGUUGCUUGCUCUAUCUCGUUAUCCGAGUCGUCAGAAUCGACGAAAUCAAACUUGGUAACUUGAAUAUCAGGAGAGCUAUAAUAAAAAUUAACAAAACCGAAGAAAAUUAUAAAUUCUUUGCAUAAGUAAAAUGUAACUAAAGCCUACCCUAACAGGACUAAAUUACUAAUUAUUUAUAUUUAUUUAUUUAAUACUAACCCAUUGAGACUACGUUUGGAUCUAGUACGCUUCCUUGCAGUUAACAGCAUUCCGUUUGGUGUAAAAGGAUUUACAUUAGCUGCUGGUUUGUCAGUUUUGGUUUGGUAGCUACAUGGUCUUGGUUUAUCUAAAGAAAAUAAUCUGGUACACUUGGAAGGAAAUGGAGUAUGCAUUGCACUCUUUUCCAUUAAGGUUUUAGGAGUAGCAGGAGAAUCAAACAGCCGUAAGGCUCUAACACGUUUAUAAGGUGGACUGCAUGCCAAUGACACUUUUUGUGAAUUUGCAUUCUCACGAGGAGGAAUCCUAAUUCUUGAUGUACCUACAAUAAAAAGUGUUUAAAUUAUAUAACAUGUUGGAAAUUACUGCAUUAAAUAGGAACGUGAUGCCUUGAUGUGAUGUAUGGUGGCAUUUGACCGCAAAGGAUUAAUAAGAUCAGACAAAAUGGUAUGUAAAUAUAAUGUAAGUAUAAAUCUUAUUAAUCUCUUACCUUAAAAUUUGUUUGCAAGGAAAUUUGUGCUUGCAGACAGUUAUUAUAAAAUAAAACCAAAAUAUUUCUGUUUAUA